rnacentral:tRNA from 1 species
CAAGUUAAAGCUUUGAAAAGCAUUUUAGUUACAUUAAGAAGUUUAUUGAUAAUCAAUAUAAUUUGA